CUCGCGGGGUAGCUAAUUCUAAAUGUGGAUGCAUCAUUCACAGAGGGCGACUAUGCAGGGUCAUGUGGAGCCGUUAUUCGUGAUCACCGGGGGUCCUUUAUAGCGGCAUCCAUGGUGAGAUUAGAACACGUAGUUGAUGUGUUUACGGCAGAAGCGGCAGCUUUGCUCGAAGGAUUGAAGCUAGCAAGGGACACAUGCUGCUAUAACUUGGUGGUGAGAUCGGACAAUACCACGGUGGUGGAUGCACUAAACCACAAUGGAGGUUAUUCUAUGGUGGCAUCGCUGGUCAUUGAUGAAUGUUGAAGUAAUCUAGUAGAUUUCGGGAGGGUUACUAUUGAGCAUUGUAUUAGAGAGUCAAACUUUGUAGCUCAUGAGCUGGCUAGAUGGGGACGUGUUAACAAUCCAUCUCUUUGGAUUGAUGCCUCGCCUGAUUUCAUUGUGAAAUUGCUAGCAGACGAUGUAUCUAUCAUUUGA
rnacentral:rRNA from 1 species